UACGAAGGGGGCUAGCGUUGCUCGGAAUUACUGGGCGUAAAGCGCACGUAGGCGGGUUCUUAAGUCGGUGGUGAAAUCCUGGAGCUCAACUCCAGAACUGCCUUCGAUACUGGGAAUCUUGAGUCCGGGAGAGGUGAGUGGAACUGCGAGCGUAGAGGUGAAAUUCGUAGAUAUUCGCAAGAACACCAGUGGCGAAGGCGGCUCACUGGCCCGGUACUGACGCUGAGGUGCGAAAGCGUGGGGAGCAAACAGG
rnacentral:rRNA from 1 species